UACGUAGGGUGCAAGCGUUAAUCGGAAUUACUGGGCGUAAAGCGUGCGCAGGCGGCGAUGUAAGACAGAUGUGAAAUCCCCGGGCUCAACCUGGGAACUGCAUUUGUGACUGCAUCGCUGGAGUGCGGCAGAGGGGGAUGGAAUUCCUCGUGUAGCAGUGAAAUGCGUAGAUAUGCGGAGGAACACCGAUGGCGAAGGCAAUCCCCUGGGCCUGCACUGACGCUCAUGCACGAAGGCCUGGGGAGCAAACAGG
rnacentral:rRNA from 1 species